rnacentral:rRNA from 1 species
GAUGAACGCUGGCGGCGUGCUUAACACAUGCAAGUCGAACGGUGAAGCAGAGCUUGCUCUGUGGAUCAGUGGCGAACGGGUGAGUAACACGUGAGCAACCUGCCCCUGACUCUGGGAUAAGCGCUGGAAACGGCGUCUAAUACUGGAUAUGAGCUGCGACCGCAUGGUCAGCAGUUGGAAAGAUUUUUCGGUCUGGGAUGGGCUCACGGCCUAUCAGCUUGUUGGUGAGGUAAUGGCUCACCAAGGCGUCGACGGGUAGCCGGCCUGAGAGGGUGACCGGCCACACUGGGACUGAGACACGGCCCAGACUCCUACGGGAGGCAGCAGUGGGGAAUAUUGCACAAUGGGCGAAAGCCUGAUGCAGCAACGCCGCGUGAGGGAUGACGGCCUUCGGGUUGUAAACCUCUUUUAGCAGGGAAGAAGCGAAAGUGACGGUACCUGCAGAAAAAGCGCCGGCUAACUACAUG